GGAACAUAGGGAGCUGCCAUAUACCGAGUCUGGCCGUUGGUCUAUCUAGCUCAGUAUUUGUCUUCACAGACUGGCAGCAGCUUCUCCAAAGGUCCGGCGGGUGAUUGGCGACUUCGGGGUCCCCAUUGCCAUCCUCAUCAUGGUGCUGGUGGACUACAGCACCCAGGACACCUACACUCAGUAACUCAGCAUCUAAUGCAGUGGGUUGUCAGUCACAAAAGCUCCUGCAAUAUUCACGCAGUCUCCAAGGGCUACUUAUUUCUUGACAAGCCCUUCAGGUGGUGUUUAUCAAAAGCUGCAAGCAAAACCUUGGAUGCUGGAGCUGUCGGUGACUGACCAGGAGAGGGAUCUUGGGGUCGUGGUGGACAGCUUGUUGAAAGCAUCGACUCAAUGUGCAGCCGCUGUGAAAAAGGCCAGUUCCAUGCUAGGGAUCAUUAGGAAGGGGAUUGAAAAUAAAAUGGCUAAUAUUAUAAAGCCCUUGCACAAAACUAUGGUGCUGUCACAUUUGGAGCAUUGCAUACGAUUCUGGUCACCACAUCUAAAAAAGGACAUUGUAGAACAGGAAAAGGGGAUCAGGGGCCUAGAGCACAUUUCUUAUGAGGCAAGACUACAACACCUGGGGCUAUUUAGUUUAGAAAAAAGACGACUGCGGGGAGACAUGAUAGAGGUCUAUAAAAUCAUGCAUGGGGUGGAGAAAGUGGAUAGAGAGACAUUCUUCUCCCUCUCCCAUAACACUGGAACCAGGGGUCAUCCCAUGAAAUAACCCACUUGUGGAAUUCUCUGCCACAAGAUGUGGUGACAGCCAACCACCUGGAUGGCUUGAAGAGGGGUUUGGAUGAGUUCAUGGAGGAGAGGUCUAUCAACGGCUACUAGUCAGAGGGCUACAGGCCACCUCCAGCCUCCAAGGCAGGAUGCCUCUGAGUACCAGUUGCAGGGGAGUAACAGCAGGAGAGAGGGCCUGCCCUCAACUCCUGCCUGCUGCUUCCAGUGGCAUCUGGUGGGUUACUGUGUGAAACAGGAUGCUGGACUAGAUGGGCUUCCUUGGGGGAGCCUGAUCCAGCAGCCAGGCUGUUCUGAUGUACUUCUGUCUUGCGGAGGAGGGACAGCUUUGCAAUGCACGGCUGAGCCUCCAGGAGGGCUUCCCUGGUGGAACCUGAACACUCUGCCCGAAAUCCUCCUGUGCUCCUGGAGGCGGCCACAAGGAGCUGCUCGUUCUGGCUGGCUGGCUGCUUUGUGAUGGUUUGCUCACGGUGUGGCAAGUUCUUUUCAAACCUCCCCUUAAACUAAGCCCCCUCUUUAUUUCAUAAGACGACUGCUGCUUCGUGUCCAGCGUACCUCAUCCAAGACCUUCCUACGGCCUGGCUGCUCAGGGUGGGCUGUCGUCAAGAAGGGCUAGCUCUGGGCGACUCCCUCUGUUGCUGUCGGGAAGGCCGUUUGCUUCUGGGGCUCUCAUUUAUGGUACUCUUUAUAUUUAAAUAUGUAUACUUAAGAGAACGUCUUUUUCACCAUGAGCCCUACUGCCUGCUAAGGUCAUCUGGAGAGGUCCGUCUGCAGUUGCCGCCAGCUUGUCUGGUGACUACUCGGGAACGGGCCUCCUUCUCCGUUGCAGCCCCUGGACCUUGGAAUGUGCUCCCUGUUGAAAUAAGAGCCUCCCCAACUCUGGCAACUUGUGCAAAGGCACUGGGGACACAUUUAUUCACCCAGGCUUUUAAUUAGAUGUAUAGUCUUAAUUUUUAAUGCUGGUUUUAAAUGCUUUUAAUGUUAAUGUUUUAAAUGUUUAAAUGUUUUUAAUUGUUUGAUUUGGUUUUGAUUUUAACUGUUAAUUGAUUUUAAUUGUUUUAUUUGUUGUAAACCACCCUGAGCCAUUUUGGAGGUGUGGCAUAUAAAUCAAAUAAAUAAUAAUAAUAAUAUAUC